rnacentral:rRNA from 1 species
ACUUAUGGCCAUACCAGCCUGAACAUGCCUGAUCUUGUCUGAUCUUCGAAGCUAAGCAAGGUUGGGCCUGGUUAGUAUUUGGAUGGGAAACUGCCUGGGAAUACCCAGCACUGUAGGUU